GCUAGUCUGUGGAGCAUGCUCCUACCCAGAAAGGAUAAGGAAAGCUGAAUGACUAGUGAUGAGUCUUGUCCAGGGUUACCAAGGAAACAGUGUCAGAACCAAAAUGUUGACAGCUGAAUGGAAAACAAAACAUGUCCAUAGUAACCCACUUGCAUGAGUCAGAUGACCAACAGGACUUCAGUGAGCUGGAGAAGCAUAUAUGGUGUAAAACAAAUCCCCAAACCCAAAAGAUAAGCAGGACCUUGAUUAAAGCGGAACCUAAGAGUAUUUCAAAGGAAGCAGAGAUCCAACAGAAGAUAACCACAACACAAAGAGUACUGGCAGGUAUAAAUUGACAGAGAUAACUCAUUUGCUUUCCUCACAGUGUUGAGGGUAUACUGGAGGCAGGAUGGGUGAAAUUUUAAAAUAACAUCUGGAGCAAAAAAAAGUGGUAACCAUAUGAAGCGCUGUGGUGAUUCUCAGCUGUUCCUAGUGAACCAUACCCAGCCAGUGCAGCAGCUAGAUGGGCAAAAAGGCUGCUCUAACUCUGGACACAAUUACUGCUUUUCUUGUCAACUGACCACAUUUAAAAUAAGUGCAAAUAAAAGGAAACUUGUAUAGCAUUAGCAUGGUGAGCAUGUUAAUAUGCUGCACAAUGCACACGUGUUAGUGAUUUAUGAAAAUAAAAAAUGCCUUUAUAUUUAUAGUUCUUUACCAUUGUGCUUAACCAUAGUCUCAUGAUGUAGAUAUGAGAUGGGGAUAUAUGAAUGAGUCCCAGUGGGUGCAUCUACAUGUUCAUUAAUGUGUCAUACUUACUGCGCAUUUAGUUUAGUACUUCCUUAAUAAAGUACUAACUGAAUGCUAAGUAACUACAU